CUGGCAAUGAUGAUUGGCGCAGGGGUACGGACCUCAGCUGUAGAAUGGGAGCUGAGUGUGGCCGUUUCUCACUCUGCUUGCGUGUAGUGGGCUGUUUGAGGGACGUCCACACGAGAAAAACGCCUUGAUCUGAGCCAG